rnacentral:rRNA from 1 species
GACGAACGCUGGCGGCGCGCCUAACACAUGCAAGUCGAACGAGCGAGAGAGAGCUUGCUUUCUCGAGCGAGUGGCGAACGGGUGAGUAACGCGUGAGGAACCUGCCUCAAAGAGGGGGACAACAGUUGGAAACGACUGCUAAUACCGCAUAAGCCCACGGCUCGGCAUCGAGCAGGGGGAAAAGGAGCAAUCCGCUUUGAGAUGGCCUCGCGUCCGAUUAGCUAGUUGGUGAGGUAACGGCCCACCAAGGCGACGAUCGGUAGCCGGACUGAGAGGUUGAACGGCCACAUUGGGACUGAGACACGGCCCAGACUCCUACGGGAGGCAGCAGUGGGGAAUAUUGCACAAGGGGGGAAACCCUGAUGCAGCGGCGCCGCGUGGAGGAAGAAGGUCUUCGGAUUGUAAACUCCUGUUGUUGGGGAAGAUAAUGACGGUACCCAACAAGGAAGUGACGGCUAACUACGUG